rnacentral:rRNA from 1 species
ACACCCGUUCCCAUACCGAACACGGAAGUUAAGCUCUUCAGCGCCGAUGGUAGUUGGGGGUCUCCCCCUGUUAGAGUAGGACGUCGCUGAGC